GACGAACGCUGGCGGCGUGCUUAACACAUGCAAGUCGAACGGAAAGGCCCUGCUUUUGUGGGGUGCUCGAGUGGCGAACGGGUGAGUAACACGUGAGUAACCUUCCCUUGACUUUGGGAUAACUUCAGGAAACUGGGGCUAAUACCGGAUAGGAGCUCCUGCUGCAUGGUGGGGGUUGGAAAUUUUCGGCGGUUGGGGAUGGACGCGCGGCUUAUCAGCUUGUUGGUGGGGUAGUGGCUUACCAAGGCUUUGACGGGUAGCCGGCAUGAGAGGGUGACCGGCCACAUUGGGACUGAGAUACGGCGCAGACUCGUACGGGAGGCAGCAGUCGGGAAUCUUGCACAAUGGGCGGAAGCCUGAUGAAGCAACGCCGGGUGUGGGAUGACGGCCAAGGGGUUGUAAACCGCUUUCGCCUGUGACGAAGCGUGAGUGACGGUAAUAGGUAAAGAAGCACCGGCUAACUACGUG
rnacentral:rRNA from 1 species